rnacentral:rRNA from 1 species
CUCCUAAAUGUCCUAGGCUGCACGCGCACUACACUGACGCAUUCAACGAGUCUGAUUGCCUUACGGCAACCUAUCUUGAAGAGGACGGGAAAUCUUUUGAACUUGCGUCGUGAUGAGGAUCGAUGAUUGCAAUUAUUCUCCUUGAAUGAGGAAUGCCUAGUAGGCGCAAGUCAUCAGCUUGCACUGAUUACGUCCCUGCCAUUUGUACACACCGCCCGUCGUUGCCACCGAUUGGCUGUAGGAUAGAGUUUGGGGGAGGUUGUCUUUCUCGGAUUUCUGAUUAAGACGUUCACGAAUCCAAGCAAUAUUUUUCAGCUAGAGGAAGCAAAAGUCGUAACA